CUAGUGUGAAGGGAUUUGACGUUGGGUCACAUGAAUACAAUGUCAUUCUCACUUACGCUCCAGCCCAAUUAAUUAUUUGUACACCAACAGUACCAGAAACCCACCUCAGAAUAGGCCAGUGGUUUGGCACUCAUUGGAACAGUGAGAAACCUAUGUUCAAAGCCCUUCUUACAUCAGGCAGAGGGCAGAUUUAAACCAGGAUUGCCCAUUAUCUGUGUGUAAAUCACCGUCAAUGGCCUAUUAGCAAUCACCGCAUCCAUCCAGUUCCCCUUUAAUAAUCUCUGUGUCACGUGACAAUCCAUACGGAUCUGUAAUCAAGUUUCAAGUUGGUUCUUUAAUCGCAAAUAAACUGGCCCUCGUUGCUCGUGACUGUACCAUGGGGGCUGAGCCACCCCGAGGUGGUUAGUCCCGCUACAGUCCAUAUAACAUUUAGGGUGCCCCAAUGCAUACAUUAGCCUUCCAUUGCCCAUUUCAAAAUAGCUCAUCUUAUUGCUGUAGCUCUUUGUAACAAAAGGCACAAGAGUGAAAACUUGCUGCUCUUUUUGCCUUAUCACUAACAUGUGAAGGAUGCAGCGAAAGUCAUGAAGUCACACGAGCCCCGUGUGUAUAAAUAGCACUCACUGAAGUACCUUGCUUUGUCUGUUUGCAGUGACAAACAGGCCACUCAUAAUAGAUUCAAAACAACCCAGCAAUUGCUCCACCCUCCAGAUUAGAUUUAGAGAUGAGGGUGAGCGCAGCAAAGCAAACAUUUAAGUAAAAUUUACACUCCAGGCCAAUCCUUUCCUUCUGCCAGCAGGCGGUGAGUGCGCGGCGCCUGCUGCCGGUUUCCAUGUAUAGGUAAGGAAAGGAAGACUGUCAACAAGGUCAAAGCCUUGGUUUGCCAGUGUCCAGCGCUGAUGACCUGCAAGACAUACAGCAACAAACACCCUGCUUGCCAUGUAGUUGGAGAGGAUAGAUGGAGUGACAGCGAGAGAAAAGCAUAGAGGAGGUACAAGAGAAUUUCCUAUGAAUAUUUAUUGAUCAGCUCAGAACGAUCUCAGAAGAAUAAAAAGCAAAGAGAAAAUGAGAGUUGUAGGAAGAGCAAAACUAUGAAUACAUACCCAAUUUUCAUUUAUUGUUUUCCAAAGAAGAGAC